rnacentral:rRNA from 1 species
UACGGAGGGGGCUAGCGUUGUUCGGAAUUACUGGGCGUAAAGCGCGCGUAGGCGGACCUGCAAGUCAGACGUGAAAUCCCCAGGCUCAACCUGGGAACUGCGUCUGAUACUAGAUGGCUUGAAUCCGGGAGAGGGAUGCAGAAUUCCAGGUGUAGCGGUGAAAUGCGUAGAUAUCUGGAGGAAUACCGGUGGCGAAGGCGGCAUCCUGGACCGGCAUUGACGCUGAGGAGCGAAAGCUAGGGGAGCAAAC